rnacentral:sRNA from 2 species
AGAGUAAGUCAGCCUAAUCUGGCUAAUGGCAAGUUUGCAUUAGUUAGAGCGGAGGAACCAUUCAAAGGGGCGUAUCCUGAGAAAGGGUCAAAUAUAAAGGGUAUGGGGAUAAAAAGAGGGGGCAGUAGUAACUUCAUCCUUUACACUUUAUACUUAAUCCUUCUCAGGGAGAGUAUCUCUCAACUCUAGCCCGUCAGCUAACUUCGUAGGCACUGAGAGGAGACUGA